rnacentral:tRNA from 1 species
AAGGGUAUAGCUUAGUGGUAGAGUGUGUGCUUAGCAUGCACAAAGUCCUGGGUUCAAUCUCCAGUACCUCCA